GCUUAACGCGAAGAACCUUACCAAGGCUUGACAUGCAUCUCUAAGCGCGUGAAAGCGCGUGACCCUUCGGGGAAUUUGCACAGGUGCUGCAUGGCCGUCGUCAGCUCGUGUCGUGAGAUGUUGGGUUAAGUCCCGCAACGAGCGCAACCCUUGUGACUAGUUGCCAGCACGUUAAGGUGGGAACUCUAGUCAGACUGCCCAGAUCAACUGGGAGGAAGGUGGGGACGACGUCAGGUCAGUAUGGCCCUUACGCCUUGGGCUGCACACGUACUACAAUGCCCAGCACAAUGAGAACCGAUACCGCGAGGUGGAGGAAAUCUGCAAAACUGGGCUCAGUUCGGAUUGGAGGCUGCAACUCGCCUCCAUGAAGUUGGAAUCGCUAGUAAUGCCGUAUCAUCUACGACGGCGUGAAUACGUUCCCGGGUCUUGUACACACCGGGUCUUGUACACACCG
rnacentral:rRNA from 1 species